GACCCUGACAUUAGGAGUUAAACCUCAUACACCGAGGGCGCCAUAAGAACUGCUAACUCUUUAAU
rnacentral:tRNA from 2 species